UUGAAACACCGAUUCCCGUAUGAUUACCAAAGUUAAGCAACGUUGAGCCUGGUUAGUACCUAGAUAGGUGACCGCCUGGGAAUACCAGAUGUUGUAAG